rnacentral:rRNA from 1 species
GACGAACGCUGGCGGCGUGCUUAACACAUGCAAGUCGAACGGUGAACUCCGCUUGCGGGGGGAUCAGUGGCGGACGGGUGAGUAACACGUGGGCAACCUGCCCUCCGCUCUGGGAUAACUACAAGCAGUUGGGGCUAAUACCGGCUAUGACGGCUCACCGCCUGGUCUGGUGGGGGAAGGAUUUAGCGGCUGGGGAUGGGCCCGCGGCCUAUCAGCUUGUUGGUGGGGCAGUGGCCUACCAAGGCGACGACGGGUAGCCGGCCUGAGAGGGUGACCGGCCACACUGGGACUGAGACACGGCCCAGACUCCUACGGGAGGCAGCAGUGGGGAAUAUUGCGCAAUGGGCGAAAGCCUGACGCAGCGACGCCGCGUGGGGGAUGACGGCCUUCGGGUUGUAAACCGCUUUCAGCAGGGACGAAGCGAAAGUGACGGUACCUGGAGAAGAAGCACCGGCUAACUACGUG